CAUGCGCUCCUCACGCUCCACGAACGGAACCUGCGCACGGAGGCGGUAGCGCGGGGUGGCAGCCGGCAAUGAGGCGGCCGCGCUACGUGACGAGCUACGGGUCCCCCUUUGUGAUGUUUUGGCAUCGCUCCUUCAUCGCACAUCCUCAGGCGAUGGCGGUGGUGUCGCUGAUGGCGGCGAGGACAGCAUGUGGCAGCUCCCGAAGCAUGAACACGACCGCACCUCGGGCCUGCCGUCUGCCAAGAUAUGGCUCUGGCCGAUUGACAAUGGAGGUUUGGGAUCCUUCCUCUCAGCACCCACUCCUGGAAGAAUCAGCGGUGCGCCACGCCGAUUGAACCCCGUCGAGAUCACUCGCCAAGAUUGUUAUUCUGAAGUUUAUUGUAAAGAAAGUGAAGAGUGAGACAGGAUCCGUUUAUUUUCAACCGGUUUAUUUCCAUCAAAUUACCCCCACCCCCACGCCCACCCACCGAAACGCGCCCAGCGAACCGGGGAGAGAUCCAUUGAUUUGGCUAAGGUAGGAAAGAAUCUAUUAUUUGUUUGCUAAAGCAAAUUGCAUUAAUGGGAGAGAUCCGUUGAUUUGGCUAAGGUAGGAAAGAAUC